GACGAACGCUGGCGGCGUGCCUAAUACAUGCAAGUAGAACGCAGUUGCGAACGGGUGAGUAACGCGUCGGUAACUGCCUCAUAGCGGGGGGUAACUAUUGGAAACGAUAGAUAAUACCGCAUACUGUGAGAUGGACCUGCGUUGUAUUAGCUAGUUGGUGAGGUAAAGGCUCACCAAGGCGACGAUACAUAGCCGACCUGGGAGGGUUGUCGGGCACACUGGGACUGAGGCACGGCCCAGACCCCCAAGGGAAGCAGCAGGUGGGAAACAUCGGCAAUGGACGGAAGUCUGACUGAGCAACGCCGCGUGAGUGGAGAAGGUUUUCGGGUCGGAAAGCUCUGUUGUUAGAGAAGCGUUACCUACCGAGAAAGGGACGGCUAACUACGUGCCAGCAGCCGCGGUAAUAC
rnacentral:rRNA from 1 species